CCUACGGGAGGCAGCAGUGGGGAAUAUUGGUCAAUGGGCGAAACCCUGAAGCAGCGACGCCGCGUGAGGGAAGAAGGAAUUCUGUAUGUUAAGCUCUAUCAGCAGGGGAGUAAAGGGCGGUACCUGAGUAGGAAGCCACGUCUCACUACGUGACAGCAGCCGCAGUAAUACGUAGGGUGCAAGCGUUAUACGGAUUUACUGGGUGUUAAGGGAGCGUAGACGGCAGUGCAGGUGUGGAGUGAAAGUCGGGGGCUCAACCCCAGGAUUGCUCUGUAAACUGUACGGCUGGAGUGCAGGAGAGGUAAGUGGAAUUCGUAGUGUAGCGGUGAAAUGCGUAGAUAUUAGGAGGAACACCAGUGGCGAAGGCGGCUUACUGGACUGUAACUGACGUUGAGGCUCGAAAGCGUGGGGAGCAAACAGGAUUAGAUACCCCGGUAGUC
rnacentral:rRNA from 1 species